rnacentral:rRNA from 1 species
AACGAACGCUGGCGGCAUGCCUAACACAUGCAAGUCGAACGAGACCUUCGGGUCCAGUCGCGCAUGGGGGCGUAACGGGUGGGAACCUGCCCUCAGGUUUGGAAUAACUCUCCGAAAGGGGUGCUAACACCGGAUAAUGUCUUCGGACCAAAGAUAUAUCGCCCUUGGUUGGUCCGGCGUUGGAUUAGCUAGUUGUGAGGGUAAAAGCCUACCACGGGGACGAUCCAUAGCUGGUCAGAGAGGAUGAUCAGCGACACUGGGACGAAGACACGGCCCAGACUCCUACGGGAGGGAGGAAAGGGGAAUAGAGGACAGUGGGCGGAAGGCUGAUGGAGCUAUGACGGGAAAGUGAUGAAAGCCGUAAGGAUGUAAAGCUCAUUUACCCGGGAUGAUAAUGACAGUACCGAGAGAAUAAGCUCCGGCUAACUCCGUG